rnacentral:rRNA from 1 species
AGAAUCAACGCUGGCGGCGUGCCUAACACAUGCAAGUCGCACGAGAAAGGGUAGCAAUACCUGAGUACAGUGGCGCACGGGUGAGUAACACGUGAAUAAUCUACCUCCGAGUGGGGAAUAACUGAGAGAAAUCUUAGCUAAUACCGCAUAACACUUACGAGUCAAAGCAGCAAUGCGCUUGGAGAGGAGUUCGCGGCAGAUUAGUUAGUUGGCGGGGUAAUGGCCCACCAAGACGAUGAUCUGUAUCCGGCCUGAGAGGGCGCACGGACACACUGGAACUGAAACACGGUCCAGACUCCUACGGGAGGCAGCAGUGGGGAAUUUUUGCGCAAUGGGGGAAACCCUGACGCAGCAACGCCGCGUGGAGGAUGAAAUCCCUUGGGAUGUAAACUCUUUCGAUCGGGAAGAUAAUGACGGUACCGAGAGAAGAGCCCCGGCUAACUUCGCGCCAGCGCCGC